GGGGGUUUAGCUCAGUGGUAAGGUGCAUGCCUAACAUGCAUGAAGUUCUGGGUUAAAUCCCCAGGACCUCCA
rnacentral:tRNA from 1 species